rnacentral:pre_miRNA from 1 species
GGGAACAUUCCGGUAAGGGACGUAUUUAACUUUCCUUUCCACAAUGUUCG